GCGGAAAAUGGGUCAAAAAGGACUUCUAAUCCGUAGGUCGCACGUUCGAGUCGUGCCAGGCGCG
rnacentral:tRNA from 1 species